rnacentral:lncRNA from 1 species
AUGGCGAGCUUGGCCGGAUGUCACUUCGCCUUUGCCUUUUCCUCACCGACCUUCUCAGCAGAGCCGGCCCUGCUCACUACCGCCCCCACCGGUCGUGUCGUGCUUCAUUCCCACAGGACGCAUAAGACUGUGUGCUCCAUAAGGGCAAAGGCCGUUUGUAUCUUGUUCAUUGUCGUAUGGCCAAUGCCAGCUCAGUGGCGAAAGUGGAGACUGCUUAGUAAGUAUAAACCCUCCACAGUGAGGGAACGAAAAAGGGGUUUGGCUGCUAGAAGAUUAUUUACAACAGUUGCAAAAGAGCUUCAGGAAAAUAUGGGGGCUGAAAAUAUAAUUUUGUAAUAAUUAAUGCAUAAAAUAAGCAUGUAGGUAAAGAUGGUGAAUUAAAUAAGGAGAAAAAAUGGUUGGAAGUAGAGGUAGACAUAGGAUGGAGAAAGAAGGAUUUAUUAAGAAAGGUUUACGGGGAUCCCUGGGGAGAACAAGCCAGAAGAGAGGAGAAAAAGGCUUAAUAGGUUGAGUAUGAUCGUGGAGGACUGCGAGAGCACAGGAGGGUGAACAAGGGCAGGGACCCUUGGAGACGAAAGAGGGGAAGAGGAGCGUGGGGCAAAAGCAGGGAGAUCUCUCUGACCUUCUCCCACUGUUCUCCUCCAAAGCAGGUCCUAAAAUAAUUAUUUGACCUUCCUCUAAAAUAGGUCAUUAGACCCUCAUUCCAGCGGUUCCUCCUCCCUAUACCUAGAGAAAAGGAAUGAAGACCCAGAGAUGCCAAGCACAAUCUGAACAAAUUGGCCUUGCCAAGUUCUCCCCAGGUGAUUCUCAUUAGCUCACAUUCCUUUUGUCCAACCAUCCUUCUACAGGACUGUCCACUCUUCAUCAAUCCUAAGCAUAAAAAUACAGUUUUCCCUGUUUCUUUGGGCCUUCGUUUCUGAAGGCUCCUGGGUUAUGUAAAACUUUGAUGAAAUAAAUUUGCAUGAUUUUGUUUUGCUAAUUGGUCUUUUGUUCUGGGGUCUCAGUCAUCCAUGUUGCAGCGGGUUAAGAGAAGAUAUUACUUUUUCUCCCCUACAGAAGCUGAGCAAGAACAGAUAAAUGAGGUCGGGGCGAAGGCCUGUCUAAAGUGAACACCACAAACACGAGGGCUUUAAGGACAACUGUGGGCUCCUGGCCUGCUUCGCGCAGCACAGGCAGUGACUACAGGCUUCAUCUCCACUGUGCAGGUCUGAGAAGACUGGGGGGUCUGUUAGGGCAACAGGGGCUGGGGGCAGUAGGAAAAAAGUGGUUCAAAUAUGGGGUAGGCAAGACAGUGUAGUCAGACAAAAACUAAAAUGUUAGGAACAGUGGAGUAGAUUAAAGUUUUUAGAGAAGUAGAAGAGAGAAUUAAUGGCAUGAGAAAGCUGUGAGAAAAAAGAGUAUUGCAAUUUUAGAUUUCACUAGGGGGCCAGGCAUGGUGGUUCAUACCUGUAAUCCCAGCACUUUGGGAGACUGAGGUGGGAGGAUCACCUGAUCCCAGGAGUUUGAAACCAGCCUGGGCAACAUGGCAAGACUUUGUCUCUACAAAAAAAAAAAAAAAAGAGUAGGAAAAUUGUUACUGAAACACCAGGGGGUUGCUCUCAGUCCUGCUGCUUAUGGCACAGAAAGCCAAUCAGUGAGAUGAUGAGUAUUGCCAAGGAAGAAGGCUUUAAUAGGGUGCUGCAGCUGAGGACAUGCCAGCUGAGUCUCAAAUUCAUCUCCUUGACUGAUCAAAACCAGGAGUUUAUAUAGCAGGCAAGAAAUGUAACAAUGUAUAAGAAAACAGGGCUAGGCUCGGUGAUUCAGGGUAGUUGCAGUGGCUCACACCUGUAAUCUCAGCAUUUUGGGAGGCAGAGGUGGGCAGAUUACAAGGUCAGGAGUUUGAGACCAGUCUGGCUAAGAUGGUGAAACCCUGUCUCUACUAAAAAUACAAAAAUUAGCUGGGCGUAGUGGCGUGCACCUGCAGUCCCAGCUACUUGGGAGGCUGAGGCAGAAGAAUAGCUUGAACCUGGGAGGCGCAGGUUGCAGUGAGCUGAGAUUGCACCACUGCACUCCAGCCUGGCAACAGAGCGAGACCCCAUCAAAAUAAAAAAAAAAAGAAAAGAAAAGAAAAGAAAAAGAAAACAGCAGGAACUUGGGAGGGGCAAGGAAUCGACCAUGGUGAAUGAGGGGUUGGGCAUCUGGUUGGGCAUCUGGUGUGGUGAUCUGGUUUCAGUUCUUUAAUACUUUUCGUGAGAGGCUUGAAGGUCAUUUCCUGAGGAAUUACAGGCUCUCUAAGUGAUCUUGGUGCCUGCCAACAGUAUGGGAAGCACUGACUUAGCAGAAGCACACGCAGUGCCUUGAUCCCAACAUAUCUGCAGACUGGACCUCGGGCACCUGUGCGGCCUUAGGGCCCUGGGCCUAUGCAGGAAGACUCUGGCCUACGUAGGGAUGCCUGGUCAUUCCAGAAAAUAGACCCAUGUGCCGAAGCUACUGGUGACUUGUGGACCAUGGCCACCCAUAAGCAGGUUACCAUCUUUAGGCAGAUAGUGCUGGGUUCCUGCUGCCUUUGCCAUGGACCAGCUGCGUGCUGUGUUUGGUAAAUCAUUGACUUCCCCAGUCGGGGGCGGGGAGAGGGACUUGCAUGAAGAGGAUAGGCACAGGUUUCACAAGGUUUUCAGGAGGGUAUCCAGAUCAUCCUUUUCAUUGCAAUAAGCAAAGCUAUAGUCGAACAUUUCCCUUCAUCAACUACACUAUUUGUGUAGUUAUAUUUCAUUGGCGAUAAUCUUAAUCAAAGAUUACAUGAUUAAUUUAUUAACUUAAUUGAAUGUAUUUAUUCUGAACACAGCAUGCUAACAGCUUCUUCCUCUAAAAACAGAUGAAGCUCUAAAUUCUUUGUGGAUAAUUUCUAUAUUUUCUUUUGCAGAUAGAAGGGAAUAUUUACCUAGUUAUAAAUUUUGUUAAAUACAUUUGAAAUAUAUACAUUUUUAAUCUGCAUAUAUUUCGAGGCAACUUCUCCACCCCUGCUCCCAACAAAAAUAGCACCCUAUAUAUUCUGAGACUGUGACUCCUUUACUGAAUGCACCCAAAGGCGAAUGCACCAGGUUCAGGGGAUGCGUUUGGACCUCGAGGCCACAUUGGAUAAGACAGGAUUUUCUUUGGAUUUGUCUUGUCAAUUUUGAUUUUAGGAAAAUUUUAAACAUUUCCCUUCCUCGAGGAUUAAGAUCUGAAAGCAGAUCUUUUAUCAGCUGGCUUUGCUUGUAU